UAUCAUUUCAAAAUUGUUUUUAUUUAAGAAAGAAAAUUAUCACUUCUUCUAAGAAGAAACCUCUAUGUGUCCCGCUCUGAUUACAUUUUUCUCUCUCUGCCAUCACUAACUUUUAGCUUCAUUUUUGUGUUCAGCUUUCCUUGCUCUUCUUUACAGUUUUAGAACCUGUACUUUAUUCCCAAUUAUAUUGUUUAGUUUUGUCUGUUUUGGAGCAGUACAUAAAUGACAUCUUCUAAGUGUAUGCUUUUGUGUCUCCAUUUUUUUUGCUCAAGGUUAUGUUUUUUAAGUUUAUCCAAGAUGAUGUUUAUUUUCCCUGCUCCAUAGUUUUCCACUGAUAUUCAGUGUAUUUUUCCAUUUUACUGUAGAUGGACAUUUGUAUUUUUUCUGGUUUUCAUGUAUUAUAAACUAUAGAUACAUAUAAUAUAAACAAUAUAGUAGUGAAUGUUCUUCUACACAUUUCUUGGUGUGCAAGAAGGGUUAUAGGAUAUACAUAUCUUCAAUUUUACUUAGUCAUACAAACUCUUUUCCAAAGUGAUUGUACCAAUUUACAAUCUCAAAGCAGUGUGUGACUUUCUAUUGUGCUAUAAUAUUGCUAUCACUUGGUAUUGACUUUGCCAAAAUGGUGAGCAUGAAAUAAUUUACGUUGUGUAUAUCUCUGAUGUCUGUUGAGGGUUGAGGUUGCAUAUUUCUUCGUAUGGGACCAAAAGCCUUUACUUUUCUCUGAAAUACUUGUUCUUUUAUCUUGCUCAUUUUUUUUUGACCGGGCUAUGUAUUAGUCAGGGUUCUCCAGAGAAACAGAACAAAUAGGAGAUACAUAGGGAGAGAUUUAUUGUGAGGAAUUGGCUCACAUGUUUACAGAGACUGAAAUGUCCCAUGAUCUGCUGUCCACAAGCUGAAGACCCAGGAAAGCUGGUGGUGUAAUUCCAUUCUGAGUCCAAAGGCCUGAGUACUAGGAGAGCUGAUAGUUUUAUACUAGUCUAUGGGCAGGAGAAGGCAGUUGUCUCAGCUCAGUCAAAGACAUUAAGCAAAAAUUCCUCCUUCCUCUGCCUUUUUUGUUUAUCUAGGCUCUCAAUGGGUUGAAUGAUGCCCACCAACAUUGAGGAGGCAAUCUACUUUACUGGGUCCACUGAUUCAAAUACUAAUCUUAUCUUGGAAAACCCUCACAGACACACUCAGAAGCAGUGUUUGGUCUGGGCACCCCAUGGUGCAGUCAAGUUGAUACAUAAAAUUAACCAUUGUGGGCUAUUUGCUUUUUUUCUUAGUGAUUUCUAGGAGCUGUUCUAUAUUCUAGAUAAGGGCUUCUCAACAGAACUUUCUGUGAUGAUAGAAAUGUUCUCUGUCUGCACUGUCCAAUAUGGUAGCCACUAGCCACAUGCUACUGAGCAUUUGAAACUAGUGCAGCAGAGGAACUAAAUUUUCAAUAUUAUUUUUAGUGUGUUUAUUUAUUUAUGUAUUUAUUUUGAGAUGGAGUUUUGCUCUUGUUGCCCAGGCUGGAGUGUAGUGGCGCGAUCUUGGCUCACUGCAACUUCUGUCUCUCAGGUUCAAGUGAUUCACCUGCCUCAGCCUCCCAAGAAGCUGGAUUACAGAGGCAUGUACCACGACACCCAGCUAAUUUUUUUAUUUUUGGUAGAUAUGGGGUUUCACCAUGUUGGUGAGGCUGGUCUCAAAAUCCUGACCUCAGGUGAUCCACCCACCUUGGCCUCCCAAAGUGCUGGUAUUACAGGCGUGAGCCACUGUGCCCAGUCUAUUUUUAGUUUUAAUAGCCAUAUAUCUAAUAGCUGCCAUCUUGGACAGCAGAGGUCUAAGUAACAAUUAUUUGUUGGCUUUAAGUUUUGCAAAUGUCUUCUCCAAGUUUGUGAACUGUCUUUUCACUCCUUUCAAGUUGCUUUUGAUGAACAGAAGUCCUUAAUUUUAAUGUAUUGAAUAUUAUUAACCUGUUCCUUUACAGUUGGUGUAUUUAUAUAUCUUGUUUAUAAAAUCCUUUCUCAUACUUUCUUAUCUUAGUAUAUUUUCUUAUACUGAGGUCUGAGGAACUGAUUUUUGUGUUUAUAAUUUUCUUCCCUCAUGAGUCAUCAGUUUUCCUAGCACAGUUUACUGAAUGAGCCUUCUUUUCCUCACCAAUCUGCAGGACUGCCUGUAUCAAUCAGGGUACUGGCGAGAAACAGAAGGCACACUCAAACAUUAACAUUAAAGAGAGUUUAAAAAAGGCAGUAUUUACAAAGGAGAGGCUGAGGUAAGGGAAACUAAUAGGUGAUGAAGCAGUUUCAACUGGCAAGAGCUGAAACCCUUACCACUUCUAACCUUGAGAGUCAAGGAAAGGCAGGAGUUACUGGACCCAGAGGGAGGAGUGGAGGAAGACCUCCAAAUAGAAGGGGAGACUUCCACAGAGAAACAUACCAAUCACCUUGACCCAGGAGAGACAGAGUUGGCCAGAGGACUAAACACCUGUCUGCUCAACCUCAUGCUGUCCCUCCUGUAGAUUUGGUGGUAAAUCCACCAUAACCCAGCUGGAAGCCAGAGGGCAGGGAACCCACCAAUGCAGGCCACAGAGGUCUGCUCUGGAGUACAGAACUGAGUGGAGCAGGUUGGAGACUGCAUCUGGGUGAACAAAUAAACCAUCAAGCACACCUGCAUGGUUAUAAAUCUAUUUUCCAUAAAUGCAUGGGUAGGUACAAGAUCUCUCUCCAUACUGUGCCACUGAUCUAUUUGCAGCACUCCACGCUGCUUUAAGUAUUAAAGCUUUAAAUAUAUUUUCAUAUUUGAGAGGGCAAGAAUCAUCACCUUGUUUUUCCUCUUCAGGAAUGUCUUGGCCAUUCCCUGCCUUUUGUUCUUCCAUUUAUAUUUCAGAAUCAGCUUGCCAGUAUUCAUGAAGAACUCUGUUGGAAUUGUGACGGGAGUUGCAAUGAGUCUCUAGAUCAAUUGGAAGAGAGCUGACAUAUUUACAAUUCCUUCCACGGAUAGGGUUUAUGUCUCCACAUACUUAGGUCUUAUUUAAUAUAUUUCUUAAUAAGGUUUUAUCAUACUCUCUAUAAAGAGCUUCCUUUUUUUGUUAUUUUUUUUCUAGGUACCUAUUUUUGUUGCUAUGGUAAAUAUCUUUUUUUUUUAAAUAAAAAAGUCACUUUUUGCCUGAUGCUUGUAUAUAAAAAUGAAAUUAUUUUUGUCUAUUUUGGACUGAGCAACCUUACUAAAUUAUCUUAGUAAUUCUAAUGAUUUACCUGAGAGUUCUUUGGAGUUUUCUUUGCAGACAGACGUAUUAUCUGCAAAUAAUGAUAGUGUUGUUUCUUCCUUUACAAUCCAUAUAUCUUUACUUUUUAAUCUUCUGUACCAUUUAGGACUUCUAGUUAAGUGUAGAAUAGAAGUUGAUAUUAGCAUACAUCCUUAACUUUCAGGCUCCUGAUUUUCAGGGGAAUGCUUUCAAUAUUUCAACAUUAAUUAUAAUGCCCUCUGUAACUUCUUGUAGAAGCACUUUAUCACGUUAAUCAAAUGCCCCCUACUAUUUCUAGGUUAAGUGUUUUUGUUUUUAACAUGAAAGUAAGUCGAAUUUUAUUAAAUGCUCUUACUGCAUUAAUUGGGGUUAUCAUAGGAGUUUUCUUCCAACCGCAUUUGGAAUAGUCCAAUUUCUAAUUGCUAAAUUCCUACCCAGUUUUCAAGGGUAGGAUCAUUCCCCACUCCCCAUCAUAAGGCAUCCCUUUUCCUCUCCCUUUAUUUCAUAGUCCCUUUGUAGAAGGAAAUCAUAUAUUCACUUAUGCAUCCCCCAAUGCCCAGCACACAAGCACAUAGUAAAUGCUAACAAAAUGUCGGUUGAAUUAUGGAGCGAGUCAUUCUUGUGGCACUUUAUAGCUUUGAUUUUAUACUUUCAUAUCCACGUUUCUUUUCUCGCCUCUGGACUGGAAGCUUUAGAGGACAGAGUCCACAUCUGAUGAUUCUCGUUAUUCCUCUAGGACACAAUCCAGGGACUGAUUCAGAACCUUGUUCACCAAUAGAUGAUUCCUUGCUUUCCUUGGUAAACUCCAUCAUCAAAACCAUCCAACCAGUCUUCCAGGAGUAGCCAAUCUCUCUUCAUAGUCCGCUCUGCAGAGAGAGAGGUUUAUUUCACUCUCACCCUCAGGGAACCAGGCCAGUUCUGAUGACUAAGGGCAAAAUAAUUUGCUCCUUUGCUGAGAUUAAUUUCUAAAAAAUGAUUUUGCAAUAGCCUGGGCUUGACUGGCCAGGGGUGAAGGAAGGAGAAAGAAGCCAUAAAGAGCAUUUCUUCCCUCUAAUGAAACUGAACCAAGGACAGGACAAUAAGCCAGGGAGUCAGCCAUUGAUGGGUCUUUACUCAGCCCUUACUUUGUUCCCGGCCCUAUUGCUAGGCAUUGUAGAAGUGGGAGAGACAUGCUGGCCUCUUUCCUGAAUGCUUGGAAUUUAUUUUUCACCUUGGAAACAGAAAUUUCACAUUUGACAAGUUAAACAAUACGACAAGGCCGUCUGUUUACUCAUUCAUCCAUUUAUUCUUCCGUUCAUUUAUUCAUAUAGUGUUAAACAAUACGACAAGGCCAUCUGUUUACUCGUUCAUCCAUUUAUUCUUCCAUUCAUUUAUUCAUGUAGUAUUUCAAAGCCUCUGCCAUGUGGUAGGUAUUGUGCUAAGCACUGGGGAAUUCAGGGUUGAAGAGAUGCCUCCCCUGGCCUUAGGCUGAAUAAGGGAGUUGGUUAAUUAAACAGCUCCAGUACCGUGUGAUAUAUGUGGUGGUCAAGGUAUGUUUUCAAGCACUGAAUUGGGGAACAACAGGAUACAGGGACUCUCAGAGGGAGUAAUGAAUGGAUUAUCAGAGGACAUGAAUUUGGUGUAGAAGUUUAUUAUCAGGAUAAGAGAGAAGGAUAUAUGAAAAGUUGGGGCGACAUGGAGAGCACAGGAAGUUUGGAAGAUGAUGACUGGCAUGACUAGAGUUCAGGGACAGGAUGGAGGAUGAGAAGGAAGAAGGCCAGGAAGGCAGGCAGGGACCAGGCCCUUAACUCACAGUGAGAAGUUGUGGGAGCCUUCACCUCAGGGCAUCAGAAGUCAUUUAAACAUUUCAGCAGGGAGUAAUGUGAUCUGAUUCGUGUUUUAGGUUCCAAAAGGUCAGAGCAGAGAGAAUGGAUAGGGAGAGCGGAAACUGGAAUGAGGAAGGCAAAUGAAGAAGAGUGUUUGAGCUGGGACUUGAAGGAUGCACAGGAUUGACUGAGUAAGGAUGAGAGGGUGUGGCAUCCCAGGCAAAAGGGAUGGCAAAACUUCCAGUAUAGAAAUUGGGAAGCAGUGGGAGGUCAAGGUACCAGUGAAGAGAUCAGGCUGAUUAGAAUCCAAGGAAGGUCAUAAAGUUUGGAAGUGGGUGGCACGCAUUAGGGGGACAUCUGGGGGCUCAGAAGCCUGUAGAACCAAGUGAAAAGGGGUCCAGCAAAGAUUCCAAAAUCUUAGAAAUUGGAGAUAAAGCAGUGGGUAGUGGGAAGAGAUUAGCUGGAGAUGAAAAAACCUAGAUUCUAGACUCAGCUCUGUCACUAACUUGCUACAUGAGUUUGAGCAAAUUAUUUCUCCUCUCUAGGUCUCGGUUUUCUCACUUAUAAAAUGAAAGUGCUGGCCUAGAUCUCUUCUAGCACUGGUGAUUUAGGAUGCCAAGCACUAGCCUCUAUCCUUCCAUUCCCAAGUGUGUUUGCAUUUGCCCCAGGCCAUCUCAGACCGUGCUCACUGCCUCACUGCAGCCUGCCAAGCUGCAUCUCAGCCAGAGGAAGCAGAAUUAGUGGAUGAGACAAAACAAGACAAAAAUACGCAUAAUAUAAACCCUCAAAGAAGGAAGGAAGGCUGUUAAAGCAUGAGGCAGGGAGAACCAGUGAUGAAGAUAAUUAGGAAAACCUAAUUAUUGGAAUAACAGACUCAAUAUAUAGGUUGCACAACAGAAAGGAAAAGCUGAAGAAUAGUAUAUCUGUUAGCUUUUGCUGUGUAACAAACCACUGCUAAACUUACUGGCCAUUUAUUACUGCUCAUUGUUCACAUGUCACAUAAGCACUGCUGUUGAGCUGGUCAGACACAGUUGAUCUCAGCCUUGCUCAUGCAUUUGUGGCUGGCUGGAAGGUCUGCUGGGGGCUAGCUGGUUUGGGAUCAUCUCAUUCACGUGUCUGACAAUUGUCUGGAUGUCAGCUGGGACAAAGGAGCUGACUGGGUCACAUGUCUUUUAAGAUUAUUCAGUAUGCACACCAGGGCUUGUCUACAUGGUGCUAUGUUUGAAUGUGUCCCCUCCAAAAUUCAUGUUGAAAUUUGAUCCCCGUUGUGGUGGUCUUAUGAGGUGGGGCCUUUGGAAGUUGAUUAGACCAUUAAGGCCCCACUCUCAUGAAUGGGUUAAUGACCUUAGGAAAGAAGGUUUUAGAGAGUUUGCCUUCCACCAGAUGAGGACAAACAAAAAGGUACCAUCUUGAAAGCAGAGAGCAGCUCUCACCAGACACCAAUGGGAGCACCUUGGUCUUGGACUUCCAGCUUCCAGAACUGUGAGACAUAAAUUUCUAUUGUUUCUAAACUACUGAGUCUGUGGUAUUUUAUCAUAGCAGCUUGAACAACUAAGACAUAUGGUGGUAUCAGGAUUCUAAGAGAGAGACUGGAAGUGUACAAAUGGUCAGAAUAUGUCACAAGGCCAGCCAAGAGUCAAGGAUGGGGAAAUAGAUUCCAUUGAUGAUGCAGAGUAGCACUACAAAAUGGCAUAGACAGAGGAAGGAAUGAGGGAUUGUGGAAAUUUUUUCCCCAAUUUAUUAAAUUGAAUUCUCUGGCCGGAGUUAUUCACAUUCUUCCCAAAUGCAAAUAUACCUACUCCCAUUCCAGUACCCCACAAAAUUCUCACUGAACUAUGACAUCAAACUUGGAGUCAAGCUUGGAUCUCAUGAUCUCUCUCAGUUUCCAAUGAGACUUUUCAAAUGUGGCUCCUCUUCACUUGAAGACCCCUGAAUGAAGAAGAUAAGUGACUUGACCCACACCUCACUAAAACACAUUGGUGAGACAGGUAAAGUGUAGAUGUAAUGAAAACUUUUAUUCAGAAGGGGGAAAUAAGAAGCAAAUAACACUCACUGGUCUAUAGCACUACUGAAAUCCAGCUGGGCUAAUAUUAACAGGUUUUCCUACUGAAGAGGAGGAAAUAUUCCUUGAUUAGACCUAAACUCUGCUCCGUGGGAGUGACUUCUCAGUCUGUUUUUUACCUCUGUCUUUUGAGGCCACUUUUUGGGAUUACCAAGACUGGCCUCAUUUGCAGCUGGGUAGCUUUCUCAAUUUGAUUCCUUUCUGUAGAAAGUUGGGGACCAGAAGCCCUCUUAUAUUUGAGCCACCUUAGAUUUCAGUCCACAUCUUAAUGUAGGCUGGUAGCACUUUUACAUAUUCAGCUCCAUUAAAAACCAUGUGGGUUUCCUAUAAAUCUGAUUCAAGUCCAACCUAUUUGACAAAAGUCAUGCCAAUUUUCUUUGAGAUAUGACCCUCUCUUUAGACUUAUUCACAGCUACUUUGGGUUUGUCCAGACAGCUAUAAGAUGAUGUCCUUAAAGUUCCUAGAAUUUUUUUUUGUCUAGAAUAAAGGGUCUACUUAAGAUGCAGUAACUUAAUUCUGUUGAUUUUAACAAAGGAUGUCUGUAGGGAAAAUUGCACAAAGCUUCCCCGGGCUUGAAAACUACCUGCCUGGAUCAUGACAGUUCCUUUGGCCAUUACUAAGGAGCCAUGGUGUUCAAAGCAGGCUCUUCCUACGGACAGGCAGUAUAAGUAUUGCCUAUGAAGUGUGCUAAGAGAGGAACCAGGAAGAUUCCACCUCAGACUCAAAAAUCUUUUUUAUUUCUCCCAUUCCUUAAGUUCCUUCAAUGUAGAUGGAUUGCUUUUGGUCAAUUGCAUCAAUUGCAUUAAUCUGUCACAGAGGGUCUAUCAUGCAUGGCCAUUGUCAUGGAUAAAGUACCUUAAUUACUUUGCUCAGUGCCUUGCCCUUAGAAAGUGCUCAGGAUAUCUUAGUUCCCUCCUCCCAGUUCAUUCCUACUUUUCCUGAGGCUUCCGUCUUGCAAUUUACGUUACACCACAGGAGGGAAUAGAGUAAGGGUCUAUCACCUCCAUGUAAGUGAGUUUGUUGGUUGGUUCCUUGAACAAAUAUUUAUGGAGUGACUACCCUGUGCCAGGCACUGGGACUAUGUUCCUGAAUGAAGUCCCUGCCUUUAUGGAGCUUACAACAACGUAGGGGACAGAGAGACAGAAAAUAAGUCAACAACCCAUAAAAUAAUCACAGACUGUGAUAACACUAGGAUGGAAACAAGGUGGGGGGCUGAGACUGGGCAGCUGGGGAACCCUGUAUGACUGAUGAUAGCUGCGAAUGAGGAGGAGGGAAGGGAAGGCUGGAGAGGAAUGAGAAAAGGAGGCUGAGGACAAACAGGCUUCCUGUGCCUCCUCCACGAUUUUGCCCCAUGACUGUGGAAAGGACACUUUAGUUCAAGUAAACACAUAAAUCUGGAGAAAUAUGAUCUGUCAUAGCAAAUGCAACACAUUUAGUCAGGAUUCCCUCAAGGAUUGGAGCAAUAGACUUGGGUGUCAGGAGCCCUCAGUUUUAAUGCUAGCAUAGCCCCCUAUUCCCUGUGUGUCUUUGAGAGAGUCCCCUCCCUUCUCUGGACUCCUGGAUCCUGGAGUCUAUACUGAGUGGGUGGGACUCAGUGCUGUCUGACCACCUACGGCUUGAUGAAAUGACCAGCACCUUCCAUGGGAGUUUUAGCAUAGCUCCAGAAGGCUUAUGGCUCUGUCAUUGCUGCCCAUAGCUGUUAGAAUUCCUCCUUCUCUGCCCGGUUGUGCAAUUCUCUGCCUCACUUCAUUGGGUUCCAGCUCUAGGCCAUCUUUUCUUUUAAGUGUUUAGUCAGAGCCCAGACAGUUGGCAAUUCACAGUGCCCCUGGUGCAAUGAUGAUUUGGCCUGGAUGCUGUUCCAGAAAGUCAUUGAUAACUCUUAGUUCAAUCAGAAUGCUUGAGGAGUACCAUGUUCUGUGCAUUUAAAACAUUCUUCUCCAAGAAUAAGAACAAGCAAUCAAAAUACACAUCAAAACAAAAGCCACCAUUUAUUUAGUGCCUACUAUGUGUCAAUGAGCUAAGAUCAGUGCAUUUCAUUCUUGCAUCAGUCACAGGAAAUUGCCACAAUUUCAUAGAUUAGAAACUUAAGCUCAGAGACUUUAAACCAGCCAGGGGUGGAGGCAUGAUCCUGAUCCAUGAACAUCCAACUCUGGAAGUCCAGUCUCUACCAUCAUGCUGUUUUACAAUUCUUUUCACCAGCUGCAUGGAAGAACAGCAGGAAGGCCAGGUAAGGGUGGGAUCUGCCUCUGCCUGACUCUCCUUGUCUGAAUCUUCCCUUUUUGCUGGGCUCCACCAGCAAAGGAGUGUUGCUAUUUUGAGGUGACUUUCUCAAGCUCACCUAGCAAGCACUCCUGGGAAAGUAUUACUCAACCGUAUCUGUGGUCACAACCUCGAAGCUGAUAUCUCCUUUCCACUUUCCUAAAACCAUCGAGUAAAGUAGAGACCCUGCUCUUCACAUAACUUCCUAUAAGUUGGUGACAUAAUUCAUUUGAACUUCAAAUACAGACCCUUAGAUGGCACCAUGGCCAUGGGAUGCAAGAAGUGAGAACCAACAUGACAGGUGUGAUUGUGCCGGGUCCCUUUAGGAAUAAACCUCCCAAGAGCAGGGAUGUUCAACCAUCAGCCAUCAGCCAUCUCAAUGAUAUAUAAUUCAAGCAACACUGUUACAUUUAUCUCUGCCUCUAGACCUUCGAUCAAUCAUCUGUAUACGUCAUGGGGACAGGGCUUCCCAAGAUAUAGCCCUUUCAGCUGAUAAGAAUUGGAUGUUGGGAUAUUUCAGUGACACAGAACUGCACUAGAGGAAGUUGAGGGGCACGACAGGGCUUGGGAUUUGCUCUUCUAACAGCAGAAUCAUGUCUUCCAGCUCCGGAAUCAUUCCACGUCUCCAUUCUCUUAACCCAAUGUCAGCUGCAUCCAAGGCUGGUUUUGCUCUCGGUCAGAGGACAGCGGCCAAUGGCAGCAGGGGCUGUACUCUUAGACGAAAGACUGUUUUUCAAGGUUUUAUAUUAAGAGACUUAGAAAUCCCCCAGGAAGCUUUUCCUUGGACUUCAUUGACCAGAAGAUUAAUAGACUCUCCAUUGUGGUUUACAGCAGUCAAAGCCCACACAUCUUCCCUGAGUCACUCAUGAGUGAUAUUGAGAGGUUAAGACCUGAACACAUUCAGGCUUCGGUAAGGAUGGAGUAAGAUGGCUGCCAAGAGGCAGCCAACAGCGUCCACAGUUCAAUUCCCUGCUGGUCUAGUUAUAGAAACUCCAAAUUCCUGAACUUAGAUUCUUUGGACCCGCACAUGAGCUUAUUAAUUAACCUGUGAUUCUGUGGUGUGCAGUAGCUUGUUCUGAAAUUUGGGUACAGGGUGUGAGGGUCAGUUCACCAUAGCCCAGGCAGAUAGAGAGGAAAUGACGUGGUGAGCUGGGGCUUGGGACAAUAUCCAGAAGGGCAGGACAGGCACUUGGACACAUUUUUCUCAAAGCUUAGGUCUUAGUUCCUCUGAAUUAGAAUCACAUGACUGUGGGGGGGAGUGAGAUGGGGUGGGACAGACCUUACAACAUAGAUUCAUAGACCUUUUGUUCAGACUCUCUGGGGCGAGGGUCCAGGAAGUUGCAUGAUUGACAGGCUCUCUGGGUGAUUCUUAAGCACCCUGGAGCAGAGCUUAUGCUGAGCUGUAGAGACUGACUCUGGAAAUAUAACUAAGAGGGUAAGUCCAGGGCAGGAGUCUUCAUCACAAUUCAUCAAAUAGUUGGUAUUUGGGGUCCAAGGUGAGGGAAUUGGUCCCAAUAUAGUGACAAAGAAUUUAAGCUGGGUUGAAUUGUCCUGGGUCAGGCCAGGCAGUGAGCGAUGAUAUUUAUUCAUUGCAUUUUUCAACCAACAUUUAUUCAAGCCCCUUACAUGAUAAUCCCUGAAGAUACAGAUCAAAAAGUCCCUGUUUCAAAGAGUCCCAGUGCAGUGUGUUGGGGAGAUGCAGACAAGUGGACAGGUAUUCACAUUACAUGACAAGGGUCAUGGUGACACACAGGGGCUCUGGAAGCACUCAGGAGAGGCCUAGUCCAGUCUAGUGGGGUGGAUUAACUUCCUGGGCCUGCAAAUUAACAAGCUAUUACAGACCUGGUGGCAUAAAAUCACAGAAAUUUAUUCUUACACUUUUGGAGCCCAGAAUCUGAAAUCAGUUUCACUGGGUCAAAAUCAAGGUGUCAGGCCUCCCUCCAGAGGCUCCAGGGGAGGAUUUAUUCCUUGGUCUUCCAGCUUCUGGUGGCAGCCAGCACUCCUUGGCUUAUGGCUGCAUCACUCCAGUCUCUGCCUCUAUGGUCACAUUGCCCCCGCCUCUUCUGUGUCUACUCUUUUCCACCUUCCUCUUACGUGAAUACAUGUAAUUGCAUUUAGGUCCCAAGUGGGUAACCCAGGAUAAUCUCCCCGUCACAAGAUCCUUAAUCACAUCUGUAAAGCUAUUUUUGCCCUUUAAGGUGACAUUUACAGGUUCAUGGAUCAGGAACUAGAUAUCUUUGGGGGAUGUUAUUUAGUCUACCACUGGGGGCAAGGGGAAAGGAGGCUCUUGACAUGAGUCAAUAAGGAGAAGUAAGAGGUAGCCCCAUGCAGUAGAUAAGAAAGAACAUUCUAGAAAGAGCUAGAGCAUGCACAUAAGCGCCCAGAUCUGGGAACUGCGAAUAGGUUUUAUGAAUGGAGGCUCACAGCACAGAGGAAGGGUGCUGAGGUGCGAGAAGAGGUGGAGGAGGUGGGCUAGGGUCAAAGGAUGGAGCUCCUGGGGCGUGGGCUAUGGUCCACAGCUCAUGGGGAGUCAUCAAAGGUGUGUGAGCACAUGAGUGACAGCAGCAGACUUGCAUUCUGCCUGUGCUGUGGAGAAUGGAUUCCAGGGGGACCAUUCAGUAGGAUAUUGCAGUGGUGCUAGGUGGAAUAUAGUUAGACCUGAACAAAGCAGGUGAAUCGAGACAAGUGGAAGGAUCUGAUUGGUGGGGAGAAUCAACACAAGACUCCCAGGUGUCUGACAUCCAUGGAUAAAAAGGGGCCCCUGAGGGAGCAUCUGGGAGAGGAGGGGACGGAUGAAGCCUUGCCCAAUGGACAUGUUGAUUUGAGGUGUUCAUUAUGGGUCGCCAGGUGUCUGGGAAGCAGAGGAAUGUAUGGGCCUGGAAACAAGGAGAGGAAUCUGGGCUGGAGACUUGGAUUCGGAUGCCCACACAUGUAGGUGGUAGGUAAAGCUGUGGCUGUGAAUGUUGUCAUCUCAGAAGACAAGGAGUAAGGGGAUGGAUUGACAAAAAAGGCCUUCACAAGGGAGACUGGAAAGAUACAGCUGUGGAGGCAGGAGAAGUCUCAGAACUUAGGGCUUAAUACAGCGUGCAUGGCUGGGAUCUUUGCAUUUUAAAGAGAGAUUGGGGAAAGGAUAGUGCUAACACCAAUAGCGCUAGGUUUGUAAUGGUGAAAUCUGGGGGCUCUGUGGGAGGAAUAUAGGGUAACUGCCUAUACACAUGACUUAAAUUGUGUAUACAGGCAGUUACCCUGUCUGUUUGCUGGCCCAGCCAGUUGUCAGCUUGUUGGCAGCCUCUGUGAUACCUGAGUGCCUGUUUGGGACUCAGGGAGGCCCCAGUAGCAUCAGGAAGCCAGCUGCACUUGUUGUUGACUCUUAGCACGCAUUAUACACCAACAGCAUGGCUGAAGUAGAAUCCAGGGUUGCAGGAUGGGCAAAGAGAGAGCCAUCUAUGCUUCUCAAAUGUCUUGUGGCUAUUGGACCUGUGAAGUAAGCCUCUUCCCAGAGUCCUUUUCUGUUUCUGCUCCUCCUUAUCUCACAGGAAUGUUGAGGAAUUCAGAGUUUCAGAUUGCUAAAGCAGGUACUUAGGUGAGCAAUCUGAGAUCCAGAGGGUGGAAGUUCUUUCUUUCAGAGGAGCUGGUACUGAUUAUGUGACAGCCUUGAGUCCCCCCAUCAGAGCCCACUGGUGUCUUCUUCAGGGUCUGGUCUCUGGUACUGAGAUGAUGAUCACAAUUAUUAACAAUGACAUACUUGCUUUCAGUUUUUUUUUUUUUUUUUUUUUUUUUUGAUGGAGUCUCGCUCUGUCGCCCAGGCUGGAGUGCAGUGGCCCGAACUCAGCUCACUGCAAGCUCCGCCUCCCAGGUUCACGCCAUUCUCCUGCCUCAACCUCCUGAGUAGCUGGGACUACAGGAGCCCGCCACCACGCCUGGCUAAUUUUUUGUAUUUUUUAGUAGAGACAGGGUUUCACCAUGUUAGCCAGGAUGGUCGCGAUCUCCUGACUUCGUGAUCUGCCCGCCUCGGCCUCCCAAAGUGCUGGGAUCACAGGCGUGAGCCACCUCACCAGGCCAACAAUAACAUACUUUCUUACCAUCUUAGGAGGGUCUUUAUACCUUCAUAUUUGCUCAAUCUCCAAACCCAUCUGAUAAGUAUGAAAAAUGCUGUUUAUAGCUGAAGAAUCAGGCUCAGGAUCAGGGAUUUGUCUAAGACCCAGGCCCAGAACACAGGUCCUCUUGACUCUAAAUCCCGCGAUCCUCCCCAUCCCUGUGCAGCUCUACCACAGGGUUGCAGGGCUCCGGGUUGCAAGGCCCAGUGCUGAUGACACCUGGAUGGCUUGCUGGAGACUCCAGGACCAUGCUACAGGCUGUUGAGAACUGCUGGGCACCUGCCAGGUGGCUCUAUCAGAAAGUGGGGAAGCCCCACAGAAAGGCAGGGAGGGGCCACAAACACAGACGACUUCCCACCUUUGUUUUGGACCAACUCUGGGCUAUCUGACAGAGCAGAAUGCUUUGCUGCAGCUGAGAACAUGUUUCUCGGCCUUAAGAAAUAAGCUCUUAAGCUUUCAGCUUUUAAAAAUGUAAAGCAAGUAAUGCAUUCAACAGACAUCACCCCAUCACUGAGGUCUUCCCUGUCAUCCGUCCCUAAGUCUCAAACCAUCCAUCUUUGAGCCUCCGUGGAGCCUGACCAUUGCUUGCCCAAAUCCGGAGCCUCAGCCUGGCACAUACAUAAACCCUUCCCUUACCCCUACCCAAAGAUGAAGGCUCACUCUUCUUGUACCUUGCCCAUUCUUCACCACAGACCUGAUCUGUCCCUACCAAAUCUUGAGCCUCAUCCCAGCCUUGACACUAACUGCAUCCCUUACCCAAAUACUCACCUUCAGUCCAUAUCAGACCCCAUCUCAUCCCUCACCCCAUACCCAAAUCUACCACCAUGCCUCACACCAACAAUCCGUCCCUUACCCAAACCCCAAGACCUAACUGUACCCCCAUUACACCUUAAUUUCAUUCUUGAGCCUCGGUGCUAGGGGUGAAGGGGGUUAUUGCACACAUCACCAGGAAAUUUCAGAAAUGCCCAAAGGUUAAUCAUUUCUUUUUGAGGCUCUCAAAAUAAGUGUGGCUAUCACUUUGUCCAAGAGUCAAAGUGGCUGCAUUAAAACAACACUGCCCAAAACUGAGGCCAAGGUGUGAGAAGACACUGUGCAAUCUCCCUCUGCAGUCCUGUUGUUCUCAGAUCAGAAGGAGAGAGUUGUUUUGCGUUCAGUAAAUUCAGUCACCAUGUGAGUACUACGAAUGGAGCCUGAGACAAGUGCAGUCAUUAUUUUGUGUAAUGACAUGGUGUUGGAGCCACCGCUGAGAAGGAAAAUGCAGGCACAAACCAUCCAUCUUUUCAAGCAAAUGAGAAAGGUUCAUUUUUCAGAUCUGCUACUGUUCCUUAGGAACUUGGUAUUUUCUAUCCUUCCAAUUGCUCAUUGGAUUGUCUUCCCUAUGCCUUUCUAAAUGAUUGACUUUCCAAAGUGCUUUGGCUCCCUGAAAAAUGAAAGGGGUCUGGAAAUAUCAGGUGUGUUAUAAUUACCUCUGGCAGCACCAUUGGGUAGGCCAGGCGACUCUCAUCUCAACGUGUCUGCAUUAACUCUAGCCAUCUUUCUUUGGAAAAAUGUCAGCAUGAUUAGCAAUGGCUCCCACAAUGAAUUGGAGGGAAAAAAAUCACCAGUCAUUAUAUUUUUUUAAAUGAAUUUUUCUUUUUUUGUAUCAGCCCCAAGUUAGAAUUUUAAUUUGCAGAAACUCCCAAGAAAUUUCAGUCAGUGUUGUAGUUAGACCAAAGCUUGAUUUAGGUUGGCACAUUAAAACUCACUCCUGCUUUUAAAGUGCUGUACACUUUCCAGAAUAAUGAUGCUAUCCAUCCCUCACAAUAUCCCUGUAUGGAAGGCACUGUUACCUGCUUUUCACAGAUGAGGGAAUGGAGGCUCAGGGGCUUCAGUGACUUGUCCAGAUAGGGGAGGGUUUCUGGUGCCCCAUCUCCUGAGCACGGACCUGCACUCUUGCCAGCAUGGUGCUGACUGCCCUGGGGAGGGCAGCUAAAGCCCACGAAGGCCUGGGUGACAUGUCAGGUAUGACUGCCCUGGAAGAGGCAGUGUAGAUAUCAGCCAGGACAUGAUGACAAACUUAGAAAUUCAGUUCACUUUGCUAUUACCAAAUAUCUAGAGGCUUCAUGUGAUGCCAACUGAAUAUCCAGAUUUUUGACCCACUUGUUUUUUGUCUGGGUCAUUGUUAAUAUGUGAUCUUUUGUAACAGAAAGAGCCCCAUGCUCGAUCUCCAUGAUCUUGUUUAAUUCUUGCAAUAACACUUUGAGAGAUAGAUACAAUUAUCCUCAUUUUACUAAUAAGAAGUUAAAUAACUUGCCUGAGAUUGCACAACUUCGGGGCAGAGUCAAGAUUUGAACCAAGAUCUGGAUUACUCUUACCCACUACAGUAAACCUAUUCUCUGUAGGUCAGAAGAAAAUGGAAUUCUAGUUUGAGCUUUUUCUUUUUAGUUCUGUGUCCUCAGAUGAGUUAACAAAUUCAUUGAAUAUUUAUUGAGUAUAUGUUGUUUUUUUUUUUGUUUUGUUUUAUUUUUGUUUUUUGUUUUGAAACAGGGUCUUACUCUGUUGCUCAGCUUGGAGUGCAAUGGCGUGAUCUCAGUUCACAGCAGUCUCCACCUCCUGGGUUCAAGCGAUCUCAUGUCUCAGCCUCCUGAGGGCUGGGACUAGAGGUGCAAGCCACCAUUCCUGGCUAAUUUUUGUAUUUUUUGGUAGAGACAGGUUUCACUAUGUUGGCCAGGCUGGUCUUGAACUCCUGACCUCAAAUGAGUCCACCUCGGCCUCCCAAAGUACUGGGACUACAGGUGUGAGCCACCAUGUCUGGCUGAGAAUACAUUUUUAAACAACUGAUGAGCAAGCAACUCAGUUGCAAUGACUGACAAACAAGUAAAUUCCUUCAUCUCAUGGAUGAGAAUCCAUCCAUAAACAAGUGAGUUGGGCAAGUUUUUCUCAAAGGUUCUUUCUAGAGCUCAUAUAGUAUGAGUCUGUGAUGUUGACAGUUUAGAUUUGCAACAGAGUCGUGCCCAAAUCUCUCAGAUGUGCAUCUCGGUUUUCACAAUGUCAAAGGUGAUCUCUCCCACACUUCAGAGAGAUUCCCUGAAUUCAGCACCUGUGAGAAGUUAUUUAUCUCCUCUAUGUACUAUUUUUAUACAGCUACCUGAUUUAAUCCCUAACACCAAAAACUCGAGCUGUGUUAUUAUCAUCUUAAAAAUGAGAAAAUGGAGACUUGGUGAUUAUAGCCACUUGCACAAUGUCAUAGAACUAAUACAAGACAAAGCUGGGUCUUGACGUUAGAAGAAUCAACACAACAGCUGCUGCAACCUAGCAUGCACUGUGGGAGUAGCUCAGGCCCCUGGAGAAGCUGGCUUAGCCUGAGAAUGCAUCAAGCUCAUUCACCCAAGCUUCUAGAAGCACCAUUCAGAGACGUUUGGUGGGGUCACAGGUCACCUGCCUCCCCACAGACCAUCUGACAUUUGUCACACUAGAUCUUUUUUAUUCUCCUUGCGACCUUGUCUGUGAGUCAGCCCUUGUCAUAUGGUAAGACAGACUAGCAAGAAAUGGAGCUGUCCAGGUGAUCUUUUAGAACCUCUGAGAUUCCUGCUGCAUGACACAAGGAUACUCAGUCUCCCUGAAGCCCACCUGUCUCGGGCUAAGAAAUGAAUGCAGCCUUCAGGAAACAAAUGUCCCCACUACUUGAAUGAUGUCACUUGUAUUUCCUGAAGUGUGACAGCCUCUCGCUCCUGACAGGUGGUCAUUAUGCCUCAUCCUGGGCUACAUCACUGUCCUUGUAAAGAAAUGAGGUUGAAGCAAGUUUCUUCAUUUCCACAGCUAAAGAGCUUCUGGAUAAUAUCUCUGCCAUGACUAAAACCAUGCAGGGGAACAAAAUAAGAGUUGAUUUAUCAAACAUUCAGUAACUGAAAAAACAGAGUUGGAGAAUCUAUCAAAUGACUACGUGGUAACCAAUUCUAGCUAGUAGUUUAAGGUGGCUUUGUUUUCUGUUUGUAGCUAGAGGCCCAGAGGGAGGACCCUGAGCUCAGGAAGUGAGGAUGCUGGUAACAUAGCAUCACACAGAAAAGAAUGGAAAGGCCAGGCAUUAUUAUUACGGCUGACCCCUUUCAUUCUUUCUUUUACUUUCCAACUUCUUUCUGCCUGACUUCCCCAGGAAAGUCUUCCCAUUUUCCUUCACUGUGAAUCAAGAAGCAAUUGUAAUCAUGGUCAGCACAUACUAUAAUCAUCAGGGUACAGACACUUAUCAAGACAAGGGACGUGGCCAUUUCACUUUGAAAUCAAAGUGAAAUCAGGUAAUUCCUGAAAGUUCCCAGACUUUCCUCUUAGAAAUAUUGCCAAAAAAACUUCCUACUCAUCCUGCUUUAAUUACACACAACACAGUUCUUCAUCAAGUGUCAAUAUUCAUAAGUAGAAAAUGAAGUCUUUUUCAACAUUAUUAUGUUUCCAAUGGAUUUAGUUUCUACUGUGGUAAGAGCAUUACUUUGCAAACAUAUUUGAACAAAAUCCUAUAGUAUUUUGAUGACCUUCUUCCUUCUAGCUUUUGUGGGCUAGCCUGGGCAUCUGAUGGACAUUUAGGACAUUACUUCCUGUGGACACUGGGUUCUGCAUUCAACCAGCCAAUUUACAAAUGAUUCUUUGGAAUAUAGCUUAUCUGCUGUUGUGUGUAGAAAAAUAAAAUUGUCAUCUCAGUUUCUCGAUGUGGAAAUUAAGAAAUAAAAUCUGGAGUGUUGGAGCUCUUGUACCAA